rnacentral:lncRNA from 1 species
GUCCCGGACCGCCGGGUGCGGGCGCGGGAGGAGGAGGCUGCAACUUUCCCCUAGGCAGGCCCCAAGCUGUUCCCCCGGGUGCCCGGGCAGUGUACGCUGCCUCCCCGCCGCCGGUCCGAGCCGCGAUCGCCGCGCGCCUGGGGGCUCCGGCGGCCCCCGGUGACCUGCGGCGCCGGGUCCCUUCCUUGCGUCCCCUCGGGG